GACGAACGCUUGCGGCGUGCCUAAUACAUGCAAGUCGAACGCUUUGAUUUUCACCGGAGCUUGCUCCACCGAAAAUCAAAGAGUGGCGGACGGGUGAGUAACACGUGGGCAACCUGCCCAACAGAGGGGGAUAACACUUGGAAACAGGUGCUAAUACCGCAUAAUUUGUUUUUCCGCAUGGAAGAAUAAUAAAAGACGCUUCGGUGUCACUGUUGGAUGGGCCCGCGCUGCAUUAGUUAGUUGGUGGGGUAACGGCCUACCAAGACCAUGAUGCAUAGCCGACCUGAGAGGGUGAUCGGCCACACUGGGACUGAGACACGGCCCAGACUCCUACGGGAGGCAGCAGUAGGGAAUCUUCGGCAAUGGACGAAAGUCUGACCGAGCAACGCCGCGUGAGUGAAGAAGGUUUUCGGAUCGUAAAACUCUGUUGUUAGAGAAGAACAAGUGAGAGAGUUACUGUUCUCACCUUGACGGUAUCUAACCAGAAAGCCACGGCUAACUACGUGCCAGCAGCCGCGGUAAUACGUAGGUGGCAAGCGUUGUCCGGAUUUAUUGGGCGUAAAGCGAGCGCAGGCGGUUUCUUAAGUCUGAUGUGAAAGCCCUCGGCUCAACCGAGGAAGGUCAUUGGAAACUGGGGAACUUGAGUGCAGAAGAGGAGAGUGGAAUUCCAUGUGUAGCGGUGAAAUGCGUAGAUAUAUGGAGGAACACCAGUGGCGAAGGCGACUCUCUGGUCUGUAACUGACGCUGAGGCUCGAAAGCGUGGGGAGCAAACAGG
rnacentral:rRNA from 1 species